UGGGGAAUUUUGGACAAUGGGCGCAAGCCUGAUCCAGCCAUGCCGCGUGCGGGAAGAAGGCCUUCGGGUUGUAAACCGCUUUUGUCAGGGAAGAAAUCUUCUGAGUUAAUACCUCGGGAGGAUGACGGUACCUGAAGAAUAAGCACCGGCUAACUACGUGCCAGCAGCCGCGGUAAUACGUAGGGUGCAAGCGUUAAUCGGAAUUACUGGGCGUAAAGCGUGCGCAGGCGGUUUUGUAAGACAGAGGUGAAAUCCCCGGGCUCAACCUGGGAACUGCCUUUGUGACUGCAAGGCUUGAGUGCGGCAGAGGGGGAUGGAAUUCCGCGUGUAGCAGUGAAAUGCGUAGAUAUGCGGAGGAACACCGAUGGCGAAGGCAAUCCCCUGGGCCUGCACUGACGCUCAUGCACGAAAGCGUGGGGAGCAAACAGGAUUAGAUAGCCCUGGUAGUCCACGCCCUAAAACGAUGUCAACUGGUUGUUGGGAAGGUUCCUUCUCAGUAACGUAGCUAACGCGUGAAGUUGACCGCCUGGGGAGUACGGCCGCAAGGUUGAAACUUAAAUGAAUUGACGGGGGUCAU
rnacentral:rRNA from 1 species